rnacentral:rRNA from 1 species
AAUGAACGCUGGCGGCAUGCCUAACACAUGCAAGUCGAACGAAGGCUUCGGCCUUAGUGGCGCACGGGUGCGUAACGCGUGGGAAUCUGCCCUUGGGUUCGGAAUAACAGUUAGAAAUGACUGCUAAUACCGGAUGAUGUCGUAAGACCAAAGAUUUAUCGCCCAAGGAUGAGCCCGCGUAGGAUUAGCUAGUUGGUGGGGUAAAGGCCUACCAAGGCGACGAUCCUUAGCUGGUCUGAGAGGAUGAUCAGCCACACUGGGGCUGAGACACGGCCCAGACUCCUACGGGAGGCAGCAGUGGGGAAUAUUGGACAAUGGGCGAAAGCCUGAUCCAGCAAUGCCGCGUGAGUGAUGAAGGCCUUAGGGUUGUAAAGCUCUUUUACCCGGGAUGAUAAUGACAGUACCGGGAGAAUAAGCUCCGGCUAACUUCGUG